UUAAUCACAAAACAUUGAAUAUGUUGAUGGUUAUCUGUCCUGCCAUCAAAACAAAGGACAGAUAUUUUAAAAUAUUUUAAGGUAGUCAACAGUGCUUUGGAGUACAAGUUGGUCAUUUGAAUGGCUAACCUUUUCUAAGAAGAUUGUUUUUAAAUUAUAUUCAUGUCACAGCUUUGUAUGACUGAACUGUUUUCUCUGAAGUGGCUGGGUGGCUUUAAAAACACGUGAAAUGGCUUGCCUUAGAUAUUGCCGUCUUUUUUUAGUUAAGUGGUACAAAUUAAUAAUUCCUUUGUGUGAGGUAAAGCCUCAUUGCAAUGCUGUUCCUGUGACUGGAGUAAGUCACAGUUCUGCACCCUGAGUGCAGACAUUUGCAGUUCAUCAGGGCUGUACCAAUUGUGGGAAAUGCUCACUUCACUAGUCAGGGUGUGUCUUUGAUGAGUCUGGAGAUGAUGGGGAAAUGCCCUUUGCCUCCUGGGAAGAGUUGGAAGGGGGAUCCCAAGCGAGAGCAGCUGGGGCAUUGCUAUGUGUGAUUCCUCUGGUUCCCCCUUCCUCUCCCUUCAGUAUGUGCUUAUGGAGGAGGAGGAGGAGGUGAUUGUUGCUUCUUUCUUGUUCCCUCCCUGUUUCCCUCUCCACAUGCUGCUAGGAAGGUUCAGCCAGGGUAUCUCACAUGGUGGGAGGGGCUCCAUUACCUGGAUACCCACUCCUGCUGUGGGGCCAUGAUCAGGGCACAUUGCCUGGGUGGCUAUAGCUUGCUCUUGCUGCUGAGUGGUCAUUUGGGGCUCUGUUCCAGUCUGAUUUUUACCCACCCUUAUCUAGUAUGUCUGUUAUUAUACUGAUGGAGCAAGUUUGAAUGCCAAAGUUUGUUUGGGUCUGGAAGGAUUUUUUUCCCCAUGUGGCAAAAUUGGCAAACUUCUGUGUGGGUUUUUUCACUAUACUAAACAGGUAUUUAAUCUGUACUGUUUACAAGGACAAAACUCCAUGUAGCAAACAUGGAAAUAAAAUGGGCUGUAUGGAAAUUGCUUUGCUAAAACCUAAUUAAAAGGUUUUGUGAUACAGGUGGACAUUUUGGUUCAGAUCCUCAGCUGGUGUAUGUCGAUAUGGCUCCAUUAGCAUCACGAGAUCGACACCAGUGUCCAAUCUACAACGGAUGGAGAUAUGUCCUUUCUGUUACAAAGCAGAGGUUUCUCCUUUAUGUCCAUGCCACCACAGUCCUUACAAGACUCUUCUGGGACAGGAUCCCUUUGUCUGUGUCCUUUUGACUGAAACAUCUGAUUAGUGCUAAGAUGUAAAGUGCUUGUUGGGGGUCACAUUCUGCAUUAAUUUAUAUUACAUACAACCCCACUUAAAUUCAGAGCUGGAUGAGGCGUAAAUCAGUACACAAUGUGGUCCUAAUUUUUUUCCCAAGUAACAAAAAUUUUAUUGAAAGUCCAUUUUUUCUUUUUCUGCAUGCAUAGUUCCUUUUCCUUUUCUUUCUACACGUUAUCUUCAGUGACCUGUGACCAGAUUCAAAAGUUAUAGCAGCAGUCACACAUGUCAGCCUCAAUUAUUCACUCUAUGAAUAUGUAUCUGCUGUUUAAUUUUCAUUAAACUUUUGCCUACGUCAAUGUA